rnacentral:lncRNA from 1 species
AUUGCACCACUCUGGGGUUUCCACAGUUGGCUUGUUGGCUCAUCUGUGCAUACUUCAUGUUGUCUGUCCGCUAACCGGCCUGCACCCACUUAACUGUGAAUGACCACACAUCUGUCCUGGGCUGUGAGCAGCCACCAAUGCACUUAAGGAAUGAGUUGAUUUUCAGCAGACCUCAGGAGAGUGAAAGGGAAGUUUCCCCUUGGUCCCUAUGCUAGCUUUGACCAAUGGGACAUUAGCAAACAGGCUUGAAAAGUAUCUUGAGACUCACUCCCUCAGAACCUGGUGACCACAAUGUGAACAAACUUGAGAUGGCCUGCCUGAUGAUGAGAGACACAGAUACCAGCCAAGCCAUCUGUGUCACCCCAGCUGAUGUCAAGCCAAUAACCAGACAUCUGCAGGAGGCCCUCCUAGACCAUCUAGCUCCAGAAUCCACAGCAAGUUACAUUCCUGACUGGAGAUGUCAGGGGGACCUCGUGUGAACUGCCAGCACUAAAUCGUUUCUGAGGUUGGAAGAAAUAGUUGGGAGGCUGCCCUCACCUUCCAGCUUGGAACUGGACUGAGUGCAGUCCUAUGGCUCACUCUGCAGGCCACCCGCUUGGCUGGGACAUGGCUUUGGCAAACCUCGCUCCUGGCAGGCCGGACUCAUGAGAACUCUGGCAUUUCGAAGCGUGUGUCAGGGCAUGUGGAAGGAUAAUGUGGUGUGGUCACAGGGCAAGCCAAGACCAGGGAGAUGGCCCUGCAUGAUGGAAGGGAAGUUUACCCAAGGGGGUUGGGAGUCACAAUUUCUGAACCCUGAAAUCAUCCCUGUGAGGCAUUGGGGAGUGCCAAUUCUGAGGAUGAUUAGGGGGGCUGUGGGGCCUACGUUGACCCCCCAAAGCCAAUGACAAGUAUUUGGCCCAGUGAUAUGAGCCGAUUGAUGAUUCAGCCAACAUCUCCUCCUCCAGGAAGAUUUCUUGGGUUACCCCAUUAGCUUUUCUGAUGUUAACUGCCACUAAGACUCCCACCCCAGGAAGGGAUGAUCUCUGCUGAGUUAUUUCUGCCACUAAAUUCUUCCCGUGAGAUCCUGUCAAAAAUUAUGGAAACUGAAGCUUAAACAAGAGAGGGCUUUUCACCUACUGCUUGAGCGGAGAGUUCCCACCUCCCUGGCAGAACGCCAUGUGACACAGAACGAUUGAACCCGUGUCCCCAAAAUGGUAUCAGAGGCCAUGAACCUCCCUCAGAAUGACAUUUUCCCAGCUUCUUGUCCCCUCAUAGUACAGAUCCAAGUGCCUGUUGGUCCCGAAGAGGGGAGGAAAGCUUUCCUCUGCCCAAACUAAGACCCUGUUCUUUUCUUGACCCAUGGGAGUAUUCAUGGCCUGUAGGAGAAACCCAUUUGGCAAGCGAUUCACUGGCCCGUUGAUUCAUUGAUCCACUGAUCUAUUGCUUGCAUGCAAAGCCCCAUUCCACCUGCUGGGCUUGUCCCCCUGCCUCCUAUAAGACACAGCUAAUGCAUUUCUAAAGCCUGGGUUUGCUGGUCUUAAAUGACAUCAUCUGGUGGUCACACCAUCCUGGCCCAGUUCAGGUCCUGGUCAUAGUCUUUCCUCUGACAUUAGGAGUGAAAAGUCCAGGCUCUCUGUCCCUCUGCUACGGAUGUCCCCUCAAUCUCCUGUGGGCAAAGAAAGGGAAAGGGCACACAUACUUCAAGAAACAAUGAUUUCCAGUUGUGGUGCUGUGUAAAUACAGAUUGAGGAAGGAAAACGUUCUCUAACUCAGCAAGGAGAUGGUGCUGGGAGCACUCCCAAUUUGCAUAAUAAAUAGAGCACUUAACUUAUCAGUCUGCGUUUCAGCUGCUUCAUGUCGUUGGGCUCCUCCUCCCCAGUGGUGGGUAAGCACUUGCAUUAGGACUAAGAGGUCUUCCCAAGUGCUCCCUCUCAAAAGCAAAGGAGAGUGUGCCUCACCAACAUAGAGUUUCCUGGAUCGAAAACUUCCUACAAGCUGGCAGAUUUUCCAGCUUCAAUAAUUUAACACCUACUAGUACUUGUUACAAAUAUGUAUUCUGUGCCAGGCAUGGAGCUGAGUGCUUUACAUAUGGGACCUUGUUUAAUUCUCACACUAAUCCUGGAAAGUGGCUUCUAUUUUUACUUCUAUUUAAGAGAGGAGGAAGCGAAGGUUCAGAGAGGUUAUAUUGUUCAAAGUCCCACGGAGGGAACCAGGACUCAAACCCUUGUCAGACUCCAAGCCCAUGCUCUUAGCCAUCACACCAUAUGACCUCCAAAAUGGAACCCCAUCACCAAGUGCAGGAGAACCACACAGCCUGGGAUUUCCAAGUCUCUACACAUUUAAAAUAUCCUGUGGCUUUUUCUCAUAAAAAUACUUGAGCUUGUCAGAUGAGUAUCUUGAUUUGAGGUUUGACAAUAUAUUCACCCAAGCUGUUUUCCAAACUCGCUUCAGCAAUGCCUUACCUCAUGGGGCUUUUAAAAGCCCAGAUCCAAGCAUCUUACCCCAAACCUAUUAAAAGUCAGACUCUCCAGGGGAUAAUCCAGGGAAUCUGUAUUUCUAAAACAAAUUCUCAGGACGAUGCCUAUGCCACCAAUGAUCUACCAUGUGCGAGCAACUGUUUCCAUGCUUGAUGCUGAGAUGGAGUGAGGGGAAUAAAACAUGCUUAAGAAAUGGUCCUUAAAUUCAAGAAACACAUAUUUCAGUAAGGGGGCAAGAUAGAUUCGAAUACCAAAGUGUGCAACAGCUAAAUAACAAGCUGUAUGGCCCUAACUGUGGAGCAAUUCAGAAAAGAUGCAAAUCAUGAACUAGAAAAAUCAGAGAAGGCUGCACGGAACAGGAGGGACUUGAAGUGGGCUGUGUAAGAUUUGGAGGCAGGAGAAAGAAGAGAGAAGGGUAUUCCAGACAGGAAGAACACAAACAGCAAAAGCCUUGAGGGGAGAGUGAGCUGGAUAUUUUUUUCUGAAGCAGGGAGAGGGUCAGCCCACCAAUCUGGGGGAUGGAGAGAGAAUGUGCGGGAAGGAAGUUAGCCUAAGCAGGGCAGGUUCUGGCACAAGGUUGGUUUAGAUGUGGGUAACACUAGGGAGCCAUUGUGGGCUCUAGAGCAAGUACAUGAUAAAAGGGUGAUUAAGUUAAGAUAGAGCCUGAGAUGGUGACAGGAGAAUUAGCCAGAUCCCUGCUCUCUGGCUCCUUGAACACAGAUGACAGACUGCACCAGAGAACACCCAGGGGCGUCCUAAAUCUGGGGGCCCCCGGAGGCCUUAGGGGAGGGAUCCUUUCUCAACCAAGCACCUGAUUCUGCAAAGGCUAUCUUCAAGUGAGGUGUUGACCUGAGAAGGAGGCAUUUGGAGAAUGGGGUUGUGAGGUUGUGCACACCUGUUUCCUAAAUGGAGCAGUGAGUGAGGGAAGGAGACAGCAUACACACACACACACACACACACACACACACACACACACACCCCAGAAGGGGAGGCUCAGACUGAGCCAGAGAGCAGUGGAAAUUCUGCAUAAGCUAUCGUAAGCAAUUUGAUGUGCCUCUAAAUUAUUUUGACACCAAAGCAUGAUAGACCAUAUGGAGAGAAAAAAGUGUGCAAAAAGAAAGGUUGAAAAACAAUUUUUUACAAAAUGAAGAAACAAGGGCUGAUACAGAAAGAAACCAAGAGUCUGGCCUGAUGGCCCUGAUAUACAGCAGAGUUUAGUCAAGUCUUUCUGUAAAAAAGUGAGACAUUGAACCAGCUUCACUGGGUUGCAAUAAUUUUAUGUGCCAAAUAAAUGGUCCUAAUAAUAGAGGGAGAAUUAAUUGGUCAAGACUCUUGAUUUGAGGGAACUCAAGUUCAGAGCACUUCAAGACAAAGGGAAAGGAGGUGGCUCAAGUAGUAGAGUAGUCUGGCUUCAGGCACAGCUCAAUCCAGGGCACUCUUGUGAUAUAAUCAGGAUAUUCUCUGCCCAUCUCUCAGUUUCGCUUUCCUCGGUGUGCCCUCACUUCUUGACACUUUUUCCUUGUUGCAGAAAACCUGAUGCUCAUCGGCUCCAGCCAUGGUCCUUCAGAAGGAGAGAAAGCCUCCUUUGCCCAGAGUCCAUUUUGUUCCUUUGCCCACUCUUGGACCCAUCACUGUGUCCAGGUGAAUGGCGUACUCAGGUUGACCAGCCUGAGUUUUACGGCUCCUCAGAUGAUGGGAAGACAGUUCCCCUUGAUUGACAAUCCAUCAGAUUUCCAAAGUGUUGGGAGGAAGAAAAGUCUCCAAGAGGAGAAAAUCUGGCACAGAAAAGAGAAUUAGAUAUUGGUGAUGGUGCUACAGGAGUUCAGUGUCCAGAGAAAUGCCCUCUAAGGAGAAUAGUCAUGGAAGGCUUCCCCAGGGAAGUGUGAUAUGAGUUGAGCCUCAAAGGGCAAACAGAACUUGGGCCUUGGGAGGAGACAAUGUGGUGUUACAGCAAAAGGCAUGGCUUGGGCAAAGACACAGAAGGAGUCCUUGCUCCUGAAAGAUUUCGAUCAAUCUCUGGGUAUAUUCAAAUGUCAAUUUCCUCUCACUGUCUCAUUUUGUGUUUAACUAGCGGUGGUAUUGAGGCUGAAGAGAGUAGCAUUGAAGGUUCUGUCUGUACUUAAAAGGCAAGAUCAGUUGGGCGUGGUGGCUCAUGCCUGUAAUCCCAGAACUUUGGAAAGCUGAGGUGGGAGGAUCACUUGAGGUCAGAGUUUGAGACCAGCCUGGGCAACAUUAACUAUGUUAAUCCCAUCUCUACAAAUACAUAUAUGUGUGUGUAUAUAUACAUAUACAUAUUAAUACACACGUACAUAUACAUACACACAAACACACCCGCAUACAUACACACACACAUAUAUUUAAAUUAGCUAGAUAUAGUGGAUCUUACCUAGUCCCAGCUACUCAGGAGGCUGAGGUUGGAGGAUCUCUUGAGCCCAGGAAUUGGAGACUGCAGUGAGAUAUGAUCAUGCCACUAUGGUCUAGCUUGGGUGACAGACCAAGACCGUGUCUCAAAAAAAGAAAAUAAGACAGGAUCACUUACUUCUCUUAGGUCACGAAAUAAAAGGGAACCAGUCCCAUAAAAUUCUGGACAAAAUGAGAGGCUGUCCUCAUUUCCCAAUGCACGGAAGACCCAACACCCCUGGAAACCACUAACCAUGUUGGGCACAGUCAAGUUCAAUGUGAGCACUUCCUUUCAAGGGUCCUGCAUCAGUGCCUUGGAUGGUAGUCACAUUUGUCCUCUAAGUGAUCCCAUCAAUCUCAACCAAAAGCUAUUUCCCUCAUUUCCCACUCACUCAGCUGGGGCUUGGUGAAGAGUCUCUAUCCCCAGCUGUGGGGGUUCUGGGUAGUCUUGCAAAAGGAGAGGCUGAUCCAGGCUUGUUGGUCCUGGCUUACAUGCACUCACUCAUUCACUGAUUACUUAUUGAGACUUUAUCACAUGUAAGACACAGUGCUAAGCCUAGGUGCUGAAGAGACAAUUCAACAUUGUCUUUGCCCUUAAUGAGCUGUUUACUGGGGAGACAGAUGUGUAGAUCCCCACCUAUUUGGAGAUAAUUUUCCCUUCCUUGCCUCAUUCAUCUGUUUUACCAACGACUAUUAAUCACAGAUCUCAUCUCUUUCUGCACCACAAUCGCUGGCUCAGACACAGACAAAUAUGAAGCAAUCUGAUUUUUUUUUAAAAAAAAAAAGAGAGAGAGAGAACACCUUUAUUGGGAUUUUUCAAGCUUUAGCUUGCAGGAGCCAUGUUCUUUUCUUGUUUUUCAGGAUGAUUGGAGGAUGUGACACCUAACGCUAUGAUUAGAUAUUUUUCAAUUAAAAUUCUGAAUUUAGAGCAUAUAAAAACUUAACCAUUUUUAAAAUGUUGAUUUUGCAGCCAGCAAUUUUGUUUAACUCACGUAUUCAUUUGAAUAAUUUGACAGUGGAUAUUCUUGGGGUUUGGGAGGAGGGAUUUCUACACAGAUAAUUGUAUUGCCUGCAUAUAAAAAGUCCCACCUCUUCUCUUCCAA